AGAACCAUGUGAUUAAAUCCAUGUGAUUAAAUCCAUGUGCUGUUUAAUUUAAUUAAGGAUGUCUGUUAAGUGAAUGUCAAAACAGGAAGUAGAUGUCCAGUUCCUGUGAGUAAGGGGAGAAAACUCUGUGGGUUUUAAGCU